GCGUUCAAGAUAGUCAGUAGAGCAUGAGAGUCUCAAUCUCAGUGUUGUGGGUUCAAGCCCCACGUUGGGCA